CCCUGGGUAUGGAGGGGAGGGAGUCAGGUUGUCCACACCCACAGUGGGAGCAGUGCCUGGCUACGGUCUCAGUCUAGGGGAGGAGGGCCAGGCCAGCUGCUGCCCCCAAGCGUUUGCCCAUCGCCUACCUGAGCAGGCCAGAAAAGCUGGGGAGAAUGAUUCACCUAAAAGGAUCCUCCUCAGGAGAAUCCCAGUACCUGCCUCAACGCUGCAGGAUGGGCAGGAGUCUUCCCCCAACCCACAGCACACACCUGACUCCUCCCUUCCAGGGAAAAGACCUCAGGGCUGCUGGUGAGUCAGAAAUAGGAAGACAUGGGGCUAACGGGGCAACAGCCAGGGAUCUGGAACCCAUACCCCUGAACUCAGAACACAGGAAAAGAAGACAAGCCCGAAGAGGCCAGGAGGCAGAUACACGGGCUGGCCAGAGAAAUGGAGGCAAACACACACAUGCACUCAGGAGCAAGGCAGAAAGAUGUGAGUUCACCAAGACAGGUGUGCACCGACCCAUCACAGACACAGACCCAGGCUGGCCAGGGGCUCCACAUACAGGCUGACCAGACGGACAGGUGGACAGAGGAAGAACAGACCAGGAACAACCAGACAGGACAGGCAGACACACAGCCUGAGGCCUUGUGCUUUGCCCUUGACCUCCGUCCCACAUCUGGGGAUAGCUACUCCAGGCUGAAGAGCAGCCCAGAGCUGCAAGGCCCAAAGCUGUGAAGAUUCUGAGCCCCAAUCUCUGGAGGAAGAAACGCACACAGAGGCUCAGGCCCCAGGGAAAGGAGGAGAAGCCGGGCGCAGGGCUGCUAAGGACCAGAGCCUCUCCCAGCCUCACCACUGCUGGCAGGAUUCAAGUCUUAAGAAAACUGGGACUCCCCAGCCAGACUCGGGGAAGGAGGCUGCCAAUGAAGCCUCCAGCGCCCCAUCACUCCUCUGGACUCCUAGGACCCCCACCUUCAAAACCACAAAGAUACAAUGAUAAACCAUCA